UGAGGAAUCUUCCACAAUGGGCGAAAGCCUGAUGGAGCGACACCGCGUGAAGGAUGAAGGUCUAACGACUGUAAACUUCUUUUCUGAGGGAGCAUAAUGAGAGUACCUCAUGAAUAAGCACCGGCAAAACUCGUGCCAGCAGCCGCGGUAAUACGAGUGGUGCAAGCGUUACCCGGAAUUACUGGGUGUAAAGCGUUCGCAGGCGGAUAUUUAAGUCAAGUAUGAAAGACCGAAGCUCAACUUCGUGUUUGUAUUUGAAACUGUAUAUCUAGAAUUAGGGAGAGGUAAGCGGAAUUCUAAGUGUAGGGGUGCAAUCCGUAGAUACUUAGAAGAACACCAAAAGCGAAGGCAGCUUACUGGAACUAUAUUGACGCUAAGGAACGAAAGCGUGGGGAGCGAA
rnacentral:rRNA from 1 species